rnacentral:lncRNA from 1 species
GGCGACCCUUUGUGGGCGCUGACCGAUCCGGGUGCCCGAAGGAGUGGCGGGGUCUGCCUUGCGGCGCCGGUAAGUGUGUAGCUGGUUUGCGCCUUCGAGCUUCUGCGGCAUGGGCGGCGUCGGCGCAGAGCACCCCCGGGGCGGUCGGGCGGCCUCAGGGUCCUCGGGCUUCCUGCGCCGGCCGCCCUUCGGCGCUCACGACGCCGCGGCGUGUUGAGUGACACAUACCGAGAGCCGGAGCGGCGGGUCUGAGCUGGCCGUCCCGCCCUCCGCCCACGCUCCCCUGCUUCCGCUCUCUCUUCCUCCCGUGGCCUUGCCUUUCUCCGCGGUCCCCUCUUCUUUGGUUCACCCCGCGUCGGUCUUCCACCUCACCUUUCGAGCUGGCCGCCGCUUGCUGUGCGCAGUUUCGGGGGACUGGACCUUCCCUGGCUUUUAGCAGCGCCGAGCCCCAACCGUCUGUCUGCUGGCCAGGGACCGAUUCCCGAUUCCGGGAGGGCUGGGUGGGCUCCGUGCAGCCGCCCGCCUGGUGAGUGUUGGCCUUGCGCUCUUUUCUUUGUUUCUUGGAUUUUCAUUCCCUUGAGAAGUGUCUUGUGUUGCCUGCCCUUCCCCUACUGCAGUAGACCCCACUUCCUUCCAAACUCAUCAUUUAUGGCCUAGUAGGUACUGCCUGGCAUCGGUGGAACUUGGCCGGAACCCGGGCUCUGUCUUUGCUAGCCUGUCCUGAGGCCAAUUGUAACUAGAAAAAGCCUCCAGAAACCUUUUCUAAAGUUUUUCUCCCCUAGGUAGGGUCACCAGGGAAGGGACUUCUUCCAGCACUUGAAACAGACGUACAGCACCCGCGUAUUUCCUCCUGGUGGCCUUUGUAUCUGACAUACGAGAUGGCAGAGCUGAGCUGGACACUGAUCUAAACGAUUCUGGGAAACGUUUUCUGCAAGCAUAGUCGUUUGUCUCAUCAACCUAAUGCAUUCAGAAAUCUCCCCAUUUUAGAGGUGCUAGUCUUAAAAGGAAGGCAGGCAGGCAGGCAUAAGAAAGCCCCACAUCCUUCCAAGGGUCACUGAUACAAAGUCUGAAGCAGACGUAGUGGGACAAUAAACUCCAUCAAAGGACCAUCAAGUUCACUGGCCCCAGGAUUUUUCCAACUAGUCCCUCGCCCCAGUUGCUCUUUGAGGAAGUAUUUUAACACAGUUGUGAUUUUCGUUUUGUUUUUGAGACAGGGUUUCCUGCAGGCCAGGUUGGCCUCAGACUCACAGUGCAACCAGAAACAACCUUACUCUCCUUCUCUCUGCUUCCCAAGUCUGCCACCAUGCCCAACUUGGAAACCAUUAACUUGUGGUUCUCCUUAAAAAAAUCCAACAUCCAGAUGAAUGCUUGCUUGCGGUUACAAUCCAAGCCUGGGUUGUCAUAGAUCUGCACAGGUAAAACCAAGACUCUAGUGGAUGGUCAGAGCCCAGGAAGCUGCUCCCACAUGGUCACUGAGGUAGGACGGCUCCAAGAUAUGAUGGUUGUGGAGUCCUGGGCCGUCUCUUUACCUCAGGUUGUUGUAGGGUAGUUAGCACUCACUUCCACUUUACUGUCCACCGGCCUCAACACUAUCUGAGCCCCCAGAAUGCCUGGCUCUUGUUGUUCAGCCAGUGCUUGGGUGGGGAAAAUUGGAGGGCACCAUUGUGCCUUGACUUAGCUUUGGACUGAAGGAAUGUCAGACAUUUACCUAGACUUGGAAAGCGAUUCUGGCCAUCUGGAAAUAGGUGUGAGAUGUGGAACGUAAUUUAUACAGAACUUAGCAGGGAGAAUUUCCUGUCGUCUUUCAUUAGAAGGGUUAAGCAACAUCAGGUCAGGCACACAGGUGGCCAUGAGGAAGCUGUGCCCAGGCGGUGUAGGAAAGCCCUUUGCAGGUACCAUUAGGGCUAGUCACAACCUGUGCUGGUGAUGUAGGCCUUCACCCUCAAGCCCCCUCUUCCGUCUUGCUGUCUUUCUAGAAGCUACUCUGUCACCAUCCUGUUCUCUUAUGGCUUGUGUCCUAGAGUGACAGAUAAGCAGACAAGAGUACAUUUCAUUCCAGGCUUAAUUAUUUUACUUUUAUUGGUGUGCAUGUGUAUAUAUACCUUCUGGGGCCACAGAGGACAUUGGAUCCAAGGAACUGGAGGUAUAGGGAGUUGUAAGCCAUCAUGUGAGUUCUGGGUACCCAACCUUUAUCAUCUGUCAGUGAUGUUUCCAGACACCUUGUUUAAAAUCUUUACAUGUGAGGAUGGUGAACAAGAAAGAACC